AAUCCUCACUUGUCAAAGUCAAAAUCUGAUACAAACACUCUUUCUGUUUCAAGUAAGCUAGGCUCACUGCUACUAGCUAAAUAUUCUUUAUCCGAAUCAAACUGUUCUUUCUAUUAGGUAAUGAAAACAAAUAAUAUUAUUUUAUAAUCACUUAAUCUUGACAUUUUUCAUAUUAUACAAACCUUUCAGGUUCUUAGUUUUGUCAACAUCAAGCUCUUGAUUUCUGUUUCAUAACACUAUGGUAUACCAUACCCUUUUAAACUACAUAAUGGUGUAAAACUUAUUUUUAAAAAGGCAUUUUUGGUAAGCCAUUGAAUUAGUCCUAAUGUGUAUAAUAUUAGCAACAUUUUUAAUGUUUAUAUAAUUGCUUAGAAAAGAGGAUGUAUAUUUGUGGUGCUUAGUUACUGUAAAAUUAAGAUUUAUCAUGUUUAUAUAUUUAUUUGAAUGAUUACUAAGUGAAAUAGAAUGGCAUUGUUUAUAAAGAUAUCUUGGGUAUGUAAUGCUUGCCUCAUGUAGUAAGGCUUAAGUAUUAUAGCAACAAUACCAAUCAGUUCUAGUAAAUCAUUUUUCUUAUAAGUUUGAAAAUGAAGCUAGUUGUCAUUUUCACAGAUUUUAGUGUCAGAAAAAAUUCAAAUAAGCAGGAUAGGUCACACCAUUGUUUUUAAAUGAAAUAAGAAAAUCUGAUUUUCAUCUUUACAAGUUAUGAAAUAUAUUUUUCAUAUAGGAAUGAUAGUUGCUGAAACCCUUUUUUCAUGUGAAUACUGAAUAUAAAUAAAAUCCCAUUUGUAUUCUGUGAGGUUUGUUUUGUUAAAGGGAUACAUCAGGUUGUGAAAUUUGUAUAUAAAUGUUGAUAUACAGUGUACUAGUAGUCAACAUUGAGUUCCAAAAACAGCUAAUUGACAGAUGAGCAAUUUUUAUAUUAUCAUGUUUCAGCAAAUUUUUGUUUAAUCAAUUCAAUGUAAUUUUUAGAUUAAGUCAGUUUAAAUUUAAAUUGCUAAUGACUAAAAAUAAACUCAGUAACAAAAAUGUAGCACUCAGAAACCUGUCAAUGUGACAUCAUUAUAUGUGCUAACAGGCUCUAUCAGUGUUGAAUACUUGCAUGUGUCUUGUCCCUUAAAUUCAAUCAUCUUAAUGCACAAACCUGUCCACCUCUAAAUCAAAGUUAGAAAAGCCAUUAUCAGACUGGUUUCCCUUCAUUUCCAAAUUAUAACAAAAAAAAGGUAAAAAAUGAAAAAUUCAUCUCUUAUUAAAUAGUGUAAAGUGUUUAAAUGUGACUGUUUUUAAUGUUGCAGUUUAUACAAAAACUAUUGUAAGAGGACUUGGAAAUACUAUUUAGGUCAAAGAUGUCAAAUAAGCUCUACAAAUUGUGACAUGAUUUGACAAGGCAAGGUUGGCCAAGCAAAACUAUAAAACGUGUUUUGGAGGAAUCAAAUUGGACUUGUUUUGGUGAGGGGACACAUUUUGCAGAAUAUACAGGUUUAAGAGUGUUGCAUAAAUAAUUCUGUUCAGAAGAAAAAAACAUUUAUUUAUAAUAAAAAUAUCAUUUUGAUAAAAAAAGAAAAUCAUAUGUAAAUAUUUAUUGUUUAGAAAUAAUAAGUUACGGUAUAAGAGAAGAAAGCUGGAAAGCAGCAUAAUAUCUAAAUUAAUUGUGUAAUGUCAACUCUUUGUUGUUACUAAAUAUAAAUGUUGGUACAUAUACAUGUAUGUAUUAGUGUGUAAAUCUAUAGAUGUAGUUAUCAUGUACCUGUGAUUUGUAUUCUACUUAACGCCAUUCUCCUUAAUAUAUUCAGUAUAAACUUGAACUUAACAGCUUCAGUCUGAUAGAUGUUAGCGCUACUGUGUCUGUCUGUAAUGACACAAGCUCUCUCUUAAUAGUGCUGCUUGUAUAGUCUAUAUAUAAUGAUAUCUGUCAAUAUGUAAGCUCCUGCUAUUUCUAUUCAGAAGAAGUCAAUUUUAUUAAUUGUAAUUUUUUUUAAAAAGUUGAACAUUAAAGGUGACACACUAUUUAACAUUAUAUUUAUGCAAAGAAUAAGUAAAAAAUUUAAGAAUUAUAUGAGCAGUUUUUCUUCAUUUUAAAAAGUUUGCUAGAUUUACUUUAACAUUGCAUAGACCUCUGGUAAAAUAAUUGUAUAUUUCUCACUGAUUUGGCCACCAAUGUAAUGUUGAUUACAUUUUCUUCAAUAUGACGGCAUUGUAAUAUUAGUAAGCUUAAGUUUGCAAUGAUAAACCAUUCUUGAUUUUAAGGGGGAAAAUAAAACAGCGCUGUUUAUCCUCAUUCAGUAAUAGUGUACAUGUAUUAAACAAAUCUGUAUUUUGCUCAUCCCUCCAAAACAAUGCUUAUUUUUUGGCAUAGCAUAUCGUAGCAUUAAGUACAUGUGCAAUCUGUCAUGUGACCUAUAAGUACAUGUGUAAUCAGUCAUGUUAUCUGGUGCAGGAAGCUUUAUAUUUAUUUACUGCCAUACUUGAUUAUGUAUUUUUAUUAUUACCUAGUUUUUAAUACUCAGUUUAAGUCAUCUUAUUUUAUAUGUGUAUUUUGAAUAUGAUAGUAUUAGACUAGUUUUGUGUAUUAUAAAGCAGUGUAUUUUAUGUACAAGGUAUAUAUAUCUAACGUUAUCUUUGCAAGGUAUAUUGUGCAAUUAUAUUUUACAUUGAAUAAUCCCCUACUGACAUAUUUCUGUUCAGGAGUUAAGUACGUUGUUCUAAAGAUUUAGUUUGACCUAUGCUAUGCAAUUUAAUUUGACCUUGGCUACUCAAUACUGUGAACAGAUUUUAUUUAUUUCUAAAGAUUACCCUUAAAAACUUUAUAAAGGGGUAAGGAUUGGUAUUGACAUCAGUUACGAGUCUAACUCUAGAUAAACACUCUUCAUCCACCUUGAACUGAAGUCUUAGACUAUUGCUAAACAAUCAGUUUGUUUACUACGUACUCAAGUCUUAAGGUAAAUUCUAUGUUCAUAUAUUAUCAACUUAAGAGAAAGGUCAAUAAUUUGUUUAUGUAUAAUGCAAUCAAGUCAAAGGUUGAAAAUGUAUAUUUGAAUGAUAUACUAAGUCUGAGGUAAAUAUCUGUUUGUGUACCAUGUACUCCUAUGUGAAUAAUACCAGGUUGGGGACAGUUUAUUCAGUCCAAUGUCUUUUGAGUUUACGUAUUUGUCAGUUUAUAUGUUUGAUUUUGAAUUAUGUAAGACUAUGUAUUUUUCUUAUCAGUAUUUACCAAUAGAAAUAGGAAAACAUGUAAAAAAGGUUUCAAUUUAAAGCUUAGCUGUUCAUUUCAUCAUUGGUUUAAUUGUUAUACGAAAACAAAAUAUGUUUUAGACAAAGGAAAAAAAGAAAAUACUUGUCUUGUUAAUUAAAGAAGAAAGUUGAUUAGUAUAGUGCUUUAUUUUUUGAACUCUGUUAAAACAUAUUGAGGUGCAAAUAUACUGUCAAAUUUUAGAUCUUCAAAUUUAAAAAAUCUUUUGAAAAAUGACACGAUUUGUUCCUGCAUAAUGUUCAGUGCUAUUUUUAAAAUCUCAGGGCCUUGAUUUUUUUUAAAAUUGAAUUUGUUUAACACUUUCAGUUUAAAUAAGGAAAUUCUUGUUUGCCCUUUAAGUUUAUUUAUGAAGAAAUCCAGAUCUGAUAGUAUUUAAUUUUGAAAAUCUGUCUCCUUUUGUAAUCUUUGUAGAAAUGUAUUUUAUUUUUCAAUCGAUAUAUAACUGAUUUAAUUUGAAUUAAAAAAUUAAUUUUAGGCCACAGAAACAAAAAACAGAAGUGAUCUUUUUCAGUUUUUUUUUUUUUAAAGAGAUAUUUAGCUACGUAGGCUUUUAGUCUUUUAUUUUCCCCUAUCACUUACCAUAUUUACCUUUUUAUCUUCUUAUACAGAUAAAAGAGGCUUAACUUAUUGCCUACUUAUCUUCGCUAUUUACAGAAAAAGGAAUUGUCUUGUUUUUGUGUGAUUUAAAACAAUGUUUUGAUUAUAUUUGAUCUGAUUUUAAAUCAAAUACUUUUUUAUUUCAAUUGCUGCAUUGUUUUUUCUGAACAAAAACAAAUGUUGCACACAAGAUAAUUGGAAGAUUGAAAAAAAAAAAAAUAAGUGUGUCCCCAGAUAUAUAAACUUACCAAUGAGUAGUGUUCUUUUUAUUUUUACUGAAACAUAAUUUGCUUUUCUGCAAUAUUUAACCCAGUAAAUGUGAACCCAGUAGUUGCCAUGGAAGUUAGAUCGUAUUAUUUCCCUUUCAUGUCUGUUCUUAAACCAUGUACAGUUUUAUUGUACAGUGUUUUUCAAAUUUGAUUUUAAUUUUAGGUAUGUCUAGUCAAUUAUGUUGUUUAUAUCAUAUUUACCAUAUCAGUUUUGUCACCAUGUGCAAUAUGCAAAUAAAUUACACUCUCAUUGCUUACAUGUCUUAUUUUAUAGUGCAUGUUUGUGAUUUGAACCCUUACAUCACAAUAAUUCCUGUUUAUGAAUUGUUAUACCAAGGCUUAUCUUAUUCAUGGAUUGAUAAUAAGUGUUUAUUGAAUUAGACAAGACACCAAAAGGAAAAGUCAAAAUGGAAAAUUUAAGUCUGAAAACACUACAUAGAAACUGAGCAACAGGAACCACACCAGAAACUUAAUCCACUACUUCUACCAAGUCAGGAAUAUAACAGUUGUUAUCCAUUUGUUUGAUGUGUUUGAUGUUUAGAUUUUACCAUUUUAUAAAGGACAUUCUGAUUUGAAUUUCCC
rnacentral:lncRNA from 1 species